rnacentral:miRNA from 1 species
UCCCACUACUUCACUUGUGA